CCCUUAGAUGUUCUGGGCCGCACGCGCGCUACACUGACGGAGUCAACGAGUUGUCCUGCAUCGGAAGGUGUGGGUAAUCUUUUGAAACUUCGUCGUGCUGGGGAUAGAUCUUUGCAAUUUUCGAUCUUGAACGAGGAAUUCCUAGUAAGCGUGAUUCAUCAGAUCGCGUUGAUUACGUCCCUGCCCUUUGUACACACCGCCCGUCGCUACUACCGAUUGAAUGGUCCGGUGAAGCCUCCGGAUUGGCGCGCACCUCGGUGCCGCCGAGAAGUUGGCUAAACCUUACCAUUUAGAGGAAGGUGAAGUCGUAACA
rnacentral:rRNA from 1 species